UAAACUGAAGAGUUUGAUCAUGGCUCAGAUUGAACGUUGGCGGCACGCUUUAGACAUGCAAGUCGAACGAGAAAGCACUUCGGUGUGAGUACAGUGGCGGACGGGUGAGUAACGCGUAGGAAUCUACCUAGUAGUGGGGGACAACUCGGGGAAACUCGAGCUAAUACCGCAUACGCUCUUAGGAGGAAAGUGGGGGAUCUUCGGACCUCACGCUAUUAGAGGAGCCUGCGUUAGAUUAGCUAGUUGGUGAGGUAAAGGCUCACCAAGGCGACGAUCUAUAGCUGGUCUGAGAGGACGAUCAGCCACACUGGAACUGAGACACGGUCCAGACUUCUACGGAAGGCAGCAGUCAGGAAUAUUGGGCAAUGGGCGAAAGCCUGACCCAGCGAUGCCGCGUGUGUGAAGAAGGCCCUAGGGUUGUAAAGCACUUUCAGUCGUGAAGAAAAGCAAUGGGUUAAUACUCCGUUGUGUUGACGUUAACGACAGAAGAAGUACCGGCUAACUCCGUGCCAGCAGCCGCGGUAAUACGGAGGGUACGAACGUUAAUCGGAAUUACUGGGCGUAAAGCGCGCGUA
rnacentral:rRNA from 2 species